UGAAGAACGCAGCGAAAUGCUAUAAGUAAUGUGAAUUGCAGAAUUCAGUGAAUCAUCGAAUCUUUGAACGCACAUUGCGCCCCCUGGUAUUCCGGGGGGCAUGCCUGUUCGAGCGUCAUUUCACCACUCAAGCCUCGCUUGGUAUUGGGCAACGCGGUCCGCCGCGUGCCUCAAAUCGACCGGCUGGGUCUUCUGUCCCCUAAGCGUUGUGGAAACUAUUCGCUAAAGGGUGUUCGGGAGGCUACGCCGUAAAACAACCCCAUUUCUAAGGUUGACCUCGGAUCAGGUAGGGAUACCCGCUGAACUUAAGCAUAUCAAUAAGCGGAGGA
rnacentral:misc_RNA from 1 species